rnacentral:rRNA from 1 species
CCUACGGGUGGCAGCAGUGAGGAAUAUUGGUCAAUGGACGAGAGUCUGAACCAGCCAAGUAGCGUGAAGGAUGACUGCCCUACGGGUUGUAAACCUCUUUUAUAUGGGAAUAAAAUGUUACACGUGUGGGAUUUUGUAUGUACCAUAUGAAUAAGGAUCGGCUAACUCCGUGCCAGCAGCCGCGGUAAUACGGAGGAUCCGAGCGUUAUCCGGAUUUAUUGGGUUUAAAGGGUGCGUAGGUGGAUUGUUAAGUCAGUUGUGAAAGUUUGCGGCUCAACCCUAAAAUUGCAGUUGAAACUGGGAGUCUUGAGUACAGUAGAGGUGGGCGGAAUUCGUGGUGUAGCGGUGAAAUGCUUAGAUAUCACGAAGAACUCCGAUUGCGAAGGCAGCGCACUGGACUGCAACUGACACUGAGGCUCGAAAGUGUGGGUAUCAAACAGGAUUAGAUACCCUAGUAGUC